CCUACGGGGAGCAGCAGUAGGGAAUCUUUCACAAUGGGCGGAAGCCUGAUGGAGCAACGCCGCGUGCAGGAUGAAGGCCUUCGGGUUGUAAACUGCUUUUAUAAGCGAGAAAUAUGAUGGUAACUUAUGAAUAAGGAUCGGCUAACUACGUGCCAGCAGCCGCGGUCAUACGUAGGAUCCGAGCAUUAUCCGGAGUGACUGGGUGUAAAGAGUUGCGUAGGUGGCAUAAUAAGUAGCUAGUGAAAUCUGGUGGCUCAACCAUUCAGACUAUUAGCUAAACUGUUAAGCUCGAGACCGUUAGGGGUAACUGGAAUUUCUAGUGUAGGAGUGAAAUCCGUAGAUAUUAGAAGGAACACCAAUAGCGUAGGCAGGUUGCUGGGACGGUUCUGACACUAAGGCACGAAAGCGUAGGGAGCAAACGGGAUUAGAUACCCUAGUAGUC
rnacentral:rRNA from 1 species